AGAGUUUGAUCAUGGCUCAGGACGAACGCUGGCGGCGUGCUUAACACAUGCAAGUCGAGCGGUAAGGCUCCUUCGGGAGUACACGAGCGGCGAACGGGUGAGUAACACGUGAGCAAUCUGCCCUUCACUUUGGGAUAACCCUCGGAAACGAGAGCUAAUACCGAAUACGACCACUUCCGGCAUCGGAUGGUGGUGGAAAGUUCCGGCGGUGAAGGAUGAGCUCGCGGCCUAUCAGCUUGUUGGUGAGGUAAUGGCUCACCAAGGCUUCGACGGGUAGCCGGCCUGAGAGGGUGACCGGCCACACUGGGACUGAGACACGGCCCAGACUCCUACGGGAGGCAGCAGUGGGGAAUAUUGGACAAUGGGCGAAAGCCUGAUCCAGCAACGCCGCGUGAGGGAUGACUGCCUUCGGGUUGUAAACCUCUUUCAGCGGGGACGAAGCGAAAGUGACGGUACCCGCAGAAGAAGCACCGGCCAACUACGUGCCAGCAGCCGCGGUAAUACGUAGGGUGCGAGCGUUGUCCGGAAUUAUUGGGCGUAAAGGGCUCGUAGGCGGUUUGUCACGUCGGGAGUGAAAACUCAGGGCUUAACCCUGAGCCUGCUUCCGAUACGGGCAGACUAGAGGUAUGCAGGGGAGAACGGAAUUCCUGGUGUAGCGGUGAAAUGCGCAGAUAUCAGGAGGAACACCGGUGGCGAAGGCGGUUCUCUGGGCAUUACCUGACGCUGAGGAGCGAAAGUGUGGGGAGCGAACAGGAUUAGAUACCCUAGUAGUCC
rnacentral:rRNA from 1 species